GAGGCCACGGUACUGGGCGGUGGAGGCUGCAGCUACCUUUGCAGGCUUGCCUCUAGGACGCCUCGCGCUGCCGAGGUCGGGGGCGGCGCCCUGCUACCGCUGGGCCUUCGGCGAUUCCACGCAGGUGAGCACCCACAGCCACUCCGCGGGGAAGGAUACCCCUUUUCCCAGCUCCAGCUCCCCUGAACAGUUUGAGGAGGAGUCUCUGUUAGUGCGCCUUGGGAAACAGCCUCUUCUGGUCUGGAUGUAUCUCUGCGGGGCGCGGAAUUCGUUGCCCCUCGCCUUUGCUGUGCCCUGUGCCCUUGGGGAUGAGGAUGGGGGUCGAUGCCCGUUUUGCAGGGAGGGCGUGGAGUUCGCCCUCAGCUCCAUCCUCUCUCUGGGAGGGGGCAGCCGGGUGGACUGCGCCCCCUCAUCCUCUCCAGGAGAGUCAGAGCAAAAGCGCCUCUGGGCUUGGGGGCCAACUCUGCUUCUUUGGGCGAGCGCUGGUGAGAGGCUGAAGUCUUCGAUCUUCCCGGGGGUCUUCCUCCUUCCCGCAUGCCUCUUUUCGCCCUUGGUUACUAUCGCCAGCUCUGCAUUCCUUCAACUGUCAGGCUGUACCAGAGAUGCCCCCAUCUCCGCAGUGCUGGGGCGGUGGGGUGGAAGGAAUGGCCAGCCGAGGGCCUGGUUGGGGGUGGGGAUGAGGGUGGGCGCAACAGGAAAAGAGGUUCGUAAUAGAGAUUACUGAACUGGGGUGGGGGUGGGAAUGAUAGGGUUGAUUAGUGAACACAGUAGGGGUAUUUCCCAGCACGGGUGUUGAGGGUUUUAUGAUUGGUAGGAAGGGAGGUUGGCCUGGAGGACUUGGAAAUAUGUUGUAGGUGGUUUCUCUGAGAAGGAGGAGGGAUCUAGCACUAAGUGCCACUAGGUGCUGAUGUCACCUUUGAGGAGAGAUGUGUUGGAGAGGAGGAGAGUUGAGGCAGCUCCUCAGUACUUGUUCGUGGAGAGCAAGUGGUUAAGGGGGCUGUGCUUAGCCUGAUGAGUCCCUCCUGGUGUGAGCUUAAGAAGGCUGUUCCAGGAGCCAGGUUUCAGGGACUCCCUGCAGUCCUUUCCAGACUUGUUGGAAUUGGCUCUUAGUACUUUAUUCAAUAUUGAGUAAACAUUUAUUGGGCACCUACUACAUGCCAGACACCAUACUAGAGAGAUAGAUACUUGCCUAUCCAAAAGCUGUUAAAGGCCAUGGAGCAGGUAGAUGGUACCCGAAAUAGGCACACAUUCCCCUAUAUACAUUUUAGUUAUCCUGUUAGUGGAAUGGCAGAAACAAAA
rnacentral:lncRNA from 1 species